UUGGAGGAAUGUAUAGCGAAAGCUAGUUGCAUUUAACUUAGCGAAAGCUAAGUUGAUGCAGGAUUGACUAUGCUCAAAUAAAGUUCUAGGUGGGUUAUGAUGAUGACAUUUCCUAUCUAUGUGUCUUGACCAAAUUACGUGCCAGCAGUCGCGGUAACACGUAAAAGACUAGUGUUAUUCAUCUUUAAUAGGUUUAAAGGGUACCUAGACGGUAAAUCAAGUCCAAGAAGGGUACUAAUUUUACUAGAGUUUAAUAUGAGGGGGCACUAAAGUACUGAUAAGUGUAGAGAUGAAAUUCUGUGAUACAAUAUACGGCACUGGUAAAGGCGAAAGCAUCUCAUUAUGUAAUAACUGACGUUGAGGGACGAAGGCUAGGUGUAGCAAAAAGGAUUAGAUACCCAAGUAGUCUUAGCAGAAAAUUAUGAAUGUCAUAGGAUGGAAAGUUGGAUGGACAAACAACAAAUUUUUUUUUCUAUAAAUGAAAGUGUAAGCAUUCCACCUCGAGAGUAAUUUGGCAACAUUGGAACUGAAAUCAUUAGACCGUUUCUGAAACAAGUAGUGAAGUAUGUUGUUUAAUUUGAUGGUCCGCAAAAAACCUUACCACAAUUUGAAUAGAAAAAUUUUUUCAUACAAGCGCUGCACGGUUGUCUUCAGUUAAUGUCGUGAGAUCUUGGUUAGUUCCAUUAAAUUAACGUAAACCCUUACUCUAUUUUUAUAUAGAGUAGUUCACCGCUAGAUUGGAUGUGAUAACAGGGACUAAGACAAGUCAUCAUGGCCUUAAUAUUGUGGG
rnacentral:rRNA from 1 species